rnacentral:pre_miRNA from 1 species
CAACUACUCCCUCUGUCCCAAAUUUCUUGUCUUAGAUUUGUCUAGAUAUGGAUGUAUCUAAUACUAAAAUGUGACUUGAUACAUUCGUAUCUAGACAAAUCUAAGACAAGAAUUUUGGGACGGAGGGAGUACUUU